AUACGGAGGGUGCGAGCGUUGUCCGGAAUCAUUGGGCGUAAAGGGCGCGUAGGUGGCCCGGUCAGUUCGUGGUGAAAGCGCGGGGCUCAACCCUGCGUCGGCCAUGAAUACUGCCGCGGCUGGAGCACUGUAGAGGCAGGCGGAAUUCCGGGUGUAGCGGUGGAAUGCGUAGAGAUCCGGAAGAACACCGGUGGCGAAGGCGGCCUGCUGGGCAGUUGCUGACACUGAGGCGCGACAGCGUGGGGAGCAAACA
rnacentral:rRNA from 1 species